AAGCUGGCUGGGCUUGAAAAAGACGUCCCGUCAGGAAAAAAAAAAUGUCCCGAAUCAGAGGCUUCUUGGUCUGGUCCAUUUGGCAGACAGCCCAGUGCAACGGUGCCCCCAGGUGUCUUCACCCUCGACUGCACACCUGGAGCAGACAGGUGGCACAGAAGCAAAGAAACAUUAGAAAAUGGACAUACGGGUCCCUACAAGAGAAAAAACAAAAAGAAACGCACGCAAGAAGGAUGGAGACUUCAUUAUCAGUUUUCCAAAAGGAGCUGGGAUGGCCUUUGAGUUUAUAGGAAGAAGAAGAAGAAGAAGAAGAUUAGAGUGCAUCCCACCAGGUUUGUCACACUUCAGGUUUGACACAUGAAGGUGGUCUGCUUCUUAGGAGCGCAGAGGAGAAAUCGGGGAGCAGCGCCGCAGUCACAGGAAUUACUGUUGGCAGAGGAGGACGCAAAAACUGAAACAGAGGCAACUCAAACCAUUAAAGAAAAGGCUCGAUUGAUAGGCAGACUUGUGAGGAGCAGCAAGACGAAAAUAGAGCGCCUUUCAUAGCGAAGGUGUUUGAAAAAGGCAGACAUGGGGUCAGCGAUGCAAGUCCACCUCCGUAAUGUGCAAUACCACGUGGCACUCGCCAUUGUAGGCCCCGCGGUGUACUGGUUAAGGCUUGAGACCCUGAAGUUGUGGUUUCAAAUCCCACUAAUGACACUACUGGGUAAGGGGUCGGCCGUUACAAUGUGACCCUGAGCACGUCACUUCACCUGACUGCGCUCCAAUCGGAAAAACGACACAACGGUAACCAUUUGUGUCUCAGAUGUCGUGAGUUACCUUGGGUCAAGAUGGCAGCCAAAUAAUAAACCGUAAUACUAGUGUGGGCCUUUGCAUGCUGCAUAUGUGAAAGGAACUGCAACAGCAGAUUUGAUGGUGCAGUCGAGGAACUUUACAUUUCAGACAUUUCAGACAUUUCAGACAUGACACAUCCUGAGUUUCUAAGAGAAGCUCUUCCAGAUUCUGAGAUGGGUGCCCAAGCACUGCUGGGUGGCACAGGAACUCGGCGCAGGACAGCCAGGUUAGCUUGGCGGACCUGUGAGUCAUCCAUUUGUAUUAUGAGAAGGAGAGGCAGGGAGGAAAAGAAGAAGACGACAACUCAGCUAUUGUUCAGCUAUUGUUUCAUUGUGUGUGCUGAAUUUAAAAUCCGUCCUUGAAUCAGCGUAGCAGAGAGUGGCCUGAGCUCUUCAGGUGAGCCGCAGCCUGGUGGCACUAAGUUCUAAUGGAGGACUUCACAUGGCAGGGCCACACGGCACAAGCUUCAAAGUCACCAUUCUGAGUCAUCAAACAUCGGCCAUUUUGCCACCAGUUUAUUAUCUUCAAAAUAUUCAAAUGUUCUCUGCGAAUUAAUGGUUAACUGCGCAUAAAUGGCGAUUGAUGGAUAAUAAAGACGACGAAAACCCAUCUGGACUGGACGGGCGAGCAUCUUGGGCUGAAAGGCCUGCUCUCCUCCAACUGAAUGGUCAAACAACAGACCCCCCAAAAAAGGCUCUGCUGAGCCCCUAGUGGUGAACACUUGACGUGCAUUAGAAAAAGAACUGAGGGGGAAACUGGGGAUUGUGCUUCUGGCGUUGGUGUACACAUGAAAAGAGCAGCUAGGCUGUUCGGCAUAUUGACAAACAUACAGGUAGUUCUUCUUUGAAAUAGUUCAUUUUCUUUCUAUUUA